AGAGUUUGAUCCUGGCUCAGAACGAACGCUGGCGGCAUGCCUAACACAUGCAAGUCGAACGAGACCUUCGGGUCUAGUGGCGCACGGGUGCGUAACGCGUGGGAAUCUGCCCUGGGGUGCGGAAUAACUCGGAGAAAUCCGUGCUAAUACCGCAUAAUGUCUUCGGACCAAAGAUUUAUCGCCCCGGGACUGAGCCCGCGUAGGAUUAGCUAGUUGGUGGGGUAAAGGGCCUACCAAGGCGACGAUCCUUAGCUGGUCUGAGAGGAUGAUCAGCCACACUGGGACUGAGACACGGCCCAGACUCCUACGGGAGGCAGCAGUGGGGAAUAAUGGACAAUGGGCGAAAGCCUGAUCCAGCAAUGCCGCGUGAGUGAUGAAGGCCCUAGGGUUGUAAAGCUCUUUACCCGGGAUGAUAAUGACAGUACCGGGAGAAUAAGCUCCGGCUAACUCCGUG
rnacentral:rRNA from 1 species